GUGUACGUACAAGCAGUGGGAGCACAGGUUUACCUGUGUGACUGCGUACCUUUUGUAUAAUGGGUCAGCGACUUAUAUUCUGUAGCAAGGUUAACCGAAUAGGGGAGCCGGAGGGAAACCGAGUCUUAAUUGGGCGUUAAGUUGCAGGGUAUAGACCCGAAACCCGGUGAUCUAGCCAUGGGCAGGUUGAAGGUUGGGUAACACUAACUGGAGGACCGAACCGACUAAUGUUGAAAAAUUAGCGGAUGACCUGUGGCUGGGGGUGAAAGGCCAAUCAAACCGGGAGAUAGCUGGUUCUCCCCGAAAGCUAUUUAGGUAGCGCCUCGUGAAUUCAUCUCCGGGGGUAGAGCACUGUUUCGGCUAGGGGGCCAUCCCGGCUUACCAACCCGAUGCAAACUGCGAAUACCGGAGAAUGUUAUCACGGGAGACACACGGCGGGUGCUAACGUCCGUCGUGAAGAGGGAAACAACCCAGACCGCCAGCUAAGGUCCCAAAGUCAUGGUUAAGUGGGAAACGAUGUGGGAAGGCCCAGACAGCCAGGAUGUUGGCUUAGAAGCAGCCAUCAUUUAAAGAAAGCGUAAUAGCUCACUGGUCGAGUCGGCCUGCGCGGAAGAUGUAACGGGGCUAAACCAUG
rnacentral:rRNA from 1 species